UCCUACGGGUGGCAGCAGUGGGGAAUUUUGGACAAUGGGGACAACCCUGAUCCAGCAAUGCCGCGUGAGUGAAGAAGGCCUUCGGGUUGUAAAGCUCUUUUGUCAGGGAAGAAACAGCAGCUCUAACACAGUCUGCGAAUGACGGUACCUGAAGAAUAAGCACCGGCUAACUACGUGCCAGCAGCCGCGGUAAUACGUAGGGUGCGAGCGUUAAUCGGAAUUACUGGGCGUAAAGCGUGCGCAGGCGGUUAUACAAGACAGGCGUGAAAUCCCCGGGCUUAACCUGGGAAUGGCGUCUGUGACUGUAUAGCUAGAGUGUGUCAGAGGGGGGUGGAAUUCCACGUGUAGCAGUGAAAUGCGUAGAUAUGUGGAGGAACACCAAUGGCGAAGGCAGCCCCCUGGGAUAACACUGACGCUCAUGCACGAAAGCGUGGGGAGCAAACAGGAUUAGAUACCCUGGUAGUCCACGCCCUAAACGAUGCUGACUAGUUGUUGGGAAUUUACAUUCUCAGUAACGUAGCUAACGCGUGAAGUCAGCCGCCUGGGGAGUACGGUCGCAAGAUUAAAACUCAAAGGAAUUGACGG
rnacentral:rRNA from 1 species